UGUGGCGCGAGUACAACUCUGAUUUACGACGUUUCUUCUGAGUGGUACAAGCAAAUAAUCAAAACUUUUAACAACGGAUCUCUUGGUUCUGGCAUCGAUGAAGAACGCAGCGAAAUGCGAUAAGUAAUGUGAAUUGCAGAAUUCAGUGAAUCAUCGAAUCUUUGAACGCACAUUGCGCCCGCCAGCAUUCUGGCGGGCAUGCCUGUUCGAGCGUCAUUUCAACCCUCAAGCUCUGCUUGGUGUUGGGGCCCUACAGCUGAUGUAGGCCCUCAAAGGUAGUGGCGGACCCUCCCGGAGCCUCCUUUGCGUAGUAACCUUACGUCUCGCACUGGGAUCCGGAGGGACUCUUGCCGUAAAACCCCCAAUUUUCCAAAGGUUGACCUCGGAUCAGGUAGGAAUACCCGCUGAACUUAAGCAUAUCAAGAGGGGCGGGAGAAACC
rnacentral:rRNA from 1 species